AUCUACCCAGAAUUGUAGCAAGUGGUUGGCAGAAGAUGACAAAUAUUGCGUAAAUGGAGACGCGGAGCCACCUUUUACAGUUCUUCGUUUGAGAUACACAAGAGCCUUUCUUUAUACACAAGAUAAGUUGCACUAAUCAAACUUGACAGACUUUUACUAAUUUGUGUAUAAUAAAGAUAGGGCAGGCGAUAGAUGACAGCAGUAUCAUAAUUUAGUAGUAUCAUGGUGACCAUUGACUUUUCUUAUUUGCUUACACUUGACUUGGAAUUCUUGAACUUUUGAAUGGCGGCUCUAAGAGAACUUUUUUUCAUUUUUGGCUUACGCACAUGACUUGGAAUUCUUGAAACCUUUGAAUGCUCUAAGAAAACAACAAUGCAGUAUGUAACUAUCUAUUGACAUUA